rnacentral:misc_RNA from 1 species
AGCCCCCCUCCCCCCCUUAAGUGGCAGCCUCACACUCGGCGACACAAGCUUGCUGCCAGCCUGUCGCAGUCUCUCGCUCCCGUUCCGUGCGUGUUGCGUCUGCUGGACUGCUUCCCUCGCCAACGCGUUUGGGCCUAACGGCACCGCAUUUGCUUUGUGUGGGCCCUUUUUCGUUACCAACGUGUGUGCCUCAUGCGCCGCGCUGGGGGUCAGUUCGACCACGGCUACGCCCGCGGUAAGCGCAGCGGUCGAGAGGAUCAACGACGUGGCAGCUAUCACGGUCAAGAGGGCUGUGGCCGAUCCAUGAGACUGCAUUCCUCUUUUAGUGACCGCCAUGACUCGCACAAACAGCAGCAGCGGCAACACGGCCGUUAUGGCCACCACCGUGGCGGCGCAUCACCUUCGCUUGCAGCGUUGGAUGCCGAUCCAGUCGCCGACCGCCAACGUGACCGCAAAGCACGGCGCCGACAGGAGCGGCAAGACAAGAAGCAGUUGCGCAUUACGCAGCACGAACAGUGGACGCAGGAACGUCAGCAAGCACGUCAACAAGCUCGGGAUAGCAGGGUGGCUGAGCAGCUUCAGCGACAGCGGAAACGCCAGCGGGCGGAGCGAGCCGUCACAUCAGAAGCCGAGAAAAAUGGCAAGCGACAUAAGGAUGAGAAAGCGUUAAAGGGUAAGAGCGAGAAGUGUGUGCGAGCGACGGCUAACGGCUGCACGGAGAAGACACGUGUCGCGGGCCUCAAGGCGGACACAGUCAUGCCCAUCACAGGUGCUGCCGCUGCUGGGACUGCGGCCCCUGCCACCUCCUCGCUGGCGGAUCCGACGCCAGUCCCUGCUGAGGUCGCGGAGAAAGUGCGGCGCCUUGUGAACAAGCUGACAGCAGCGAACGUCGUCGACCUCACGAAGGACUUGAGCGACUACAUGGCGACGCCGGGGGUGUCUCGAGUGAGUGUGGUGAAGGGGCUUGUUCAGCAGAUAGAGCGCCUCUGCCGCCUGGAGGCGGGCCCGCUCAGCACGACUGGCACGCUGCCGUUCGCGGGGUUACUGCGAGGGUUGCAACUGCUGCACGGAAACCAGGUCGGCUCCGAGCUGGUUGAACGCGUUAGCUUUUCUCUGCACGCGCAACUCGCCGCCGCGGAGGAGGCGGCUGCAGGCAACACGCUUAUGGUGCUCGCACAGCUCUAUCUCCUGUACGGUGUGGACGUGGUGUUUGUCAUGUCGCUGCUUCGAACGCUGCUUCAUCAAGGGACGCGCCUCCUGGACUACGUUGGCGGUGAUGGCGCGACGGCGUCAGACGCCUCCUCUUCCUCCUCUCCAACGUCGGCCUCCGCGGUGGCGGUGCAGGCUGUGUGCGCGUGCGCGUGCGGACUGGCAUUGAUGCGCGCUUGUGGUGAGAAGCUGCUCAAGGAGAGUCCCACUGAGCUGGAGGCGUCCUUGCAAGAGGCGCGGCGCUCGUCUGCUAAGAUGCGCAACAUAACCGGCACGGCUCGCUUCGCAGCGCUGGUGGAGGUGAUGGGUGACAUUGCGGCUGGCCGCACCCGCAAGGCCCGCCGCGCGAUCACCGAGGAAGCUGCCCCGGUUGAGACCAUGCUGGAAGACCUCUGCUCGCUACUACCGGGUCAGGAGAAGGCCGCCUCGACGCAGCGCCGCACGAUGAAGCGGCUAGUGCUGACCACGAACAUCAUGUCGGGGCUGACGUGGGCGCAGGUGACAUCGCCAGAGAAGCCACCGCGGUGGUACAUACCGGGCGUGAUGAUGACUAGCGCACCCAGCGCCAGGGAGGAUGGCGACAAGUCUGCGGCGGCGACCGCUGGCAAGCACUCUGGCACUGCGGCGGCGAGCAAGGAGAACGGGCGCAGCCGACACAUUCUGCCCUCGCACCCCUCAUUGACUGCAGAUGGCGAGAGCGAAGAGAUGGAGGAGGUAAACGAGGCGGAGCUGAAACGCGAGCGGAUUGCGCGCAUGCGGGCGGAAGAGAAGGCCUUGAGUGGCCAGCGCCUCAACACAGAGCACAAGCGCGAAAUCUUCAGGUGCAUCGCCACUGCCGCCGACGACCUGGAGUGCUUCACGAUGCUCAUGUACCGCGACCCCGGCUACACGCGCUUCCACGACGUGUGCGCGGUGCUGCUGCAGUGCGCCUAUCAGGAGCGCAGGUACAACCCCUACUACGUGCAGGUGCUCAUGCGCUUCUGCAGUGCAAAGCCGGCGUGUGCGAAGACGCUUCAGUUUGCCAUCUGGGACCGCUUCAAGUCCAUUCGAAUCGAAAACACCGACAUCGUCGGCUACUUUAACUUUGCGUGCGGCAUCGCGGACUUGAUGCAGCACGGCGUGUACAACCUGAGCCUGCUUCGCGGCCUCGAUCUGGAGAACACGAACAAGACGAUCGGUCUCUUCACGCGCAUGCUGCUACUGCGAUUGAUCUUGCAGCUGCCGGCGUCGCGGCUGACGCAGCUCUUCUUCGGCGGAGACGGCAGCAGCGCGCACGACCUGCAGGUGGACACGAGUGUGCUGCGCCGACUGCUGACGAAGUUCAUGUCGCUUUACUUCAUAGAUGAGAACGCCUCGAAGCGGUGGCUACCCGACUUUUACGAGGUGGUCGCUGCGGGCACCGACUUUGAUGUCUCUGCUGCCGCCGAGCCGCGGGCGCUACCUGGCUUGCGCGACUCUGCGGCGCCAGCGGCCGAUGAAGGCAGCGGAGCUGCAGAGGAGCGAGUACUUCGGCGCAGUGCCGAUCGCCCGCCCUCGACGCUGUUGGACAGCGCACCGGCGUCGCCCCGCGCGGCGCUCUCGAGAUCCAAGUCGGCGGCCUCGGCUGAGGCGAUGCUCGGGCAGUUCAUGAAGCGUGUUCAGGUGGUCUACAAGGCACUCAAGCAUGGCAUCUUGUGAGUGCGGCCCGUGCGUGCGCGUGCUUUGCUUUUUGAGCGCAAGUCGACACGAGUAAGCUAAUGCGCUAUAUAUGUUUUCUCGUCCUACAUCUUGCCCAGGUCCUGCACGGCCUCCCUGCGUUUGCUGUCGUGCUUGGGUCCCUGGUACCUCUCCCAGCCUGGCUGGCUUACCAUUUACGCAUCCGCUCUCUUCUUCCCUAGCGAAGCGCCUCUGCACAUCUGGUAUCAUGCGCGUACGCUUUCCGCUGCGCACUAGCACGGAAAACGGAACAAUGCCGCUGCCUCUGUACACCAGGCUGGGAACGCAGCACACACACACACAAAAAAAAGGUGCAUGCCGAGUGCUGUGUGAGCCGAUGCGCAUUCGCAUUAUAGCGCUCUCCCCGCCUUCUCAAUCAUCUUUCUCAUCUUGCUCUCCGUUUAUCAUGCACAUUUCCGCCCUGAUCGCCGGUGCCUCAUCCUUAG